rnacentral:rRNA from 1 species
AUUGAACGCUAGCGGCAUGCCUUACACAUGCAAGUCGAACGGCAGCGGGGGAGCUUGCUCCCGCCGGCGAGUGGCGAACGGGUGAGUAAUACAUCGGAACGUACCCAGUAGCGGGGGAUAGCCCGGCGAAAGCCGGAUUAAUACCGCAUACGCCCUACGGGGGAAAGGGGGAGAUCGCAAGACCUCUCACUAUUGGGGCGGCCGAUGGCUGAUUAGCUAGUUGGUGGGGUAAAGGCCUACCAAGGCGACGAUCAGUAGCUGGUCUGAGAGGACGACCAGCCACACUGGGACUGAGACACGGCCCAGACUCCUACGGGAGGCAGCAGUGGGGAAUUUUGGACAAUGGGCGAAAGCCUGAUCCAGCAAUGCCGCGUGUGCGAAGAAGGCCUUCGGGUUGUAAAGCACUUUUGUCAGGGAAGAAAUCGUUUGGGUUAAUACCCCGAGCAGUUGACGGUACCUGAAGAAUAAGCACCGGCUAACUACGUGCCAGCAGCCGCGGUAA